CCAGAAAUUUGCUUCAGGUCUCCAUUCCAUUUAGGUAGUUUAGUUUUGGCCUAAAUGCCUAAUUUGAAUUUAUCUAAUGAAAUGUUUCUCAAAAAAAAAAAACAUUCUGUGAUAAUGUAGAUGCAUGUUCUACUAAUCAAAAGUUACUAACAAAGCUUUUUGUUUGUCAUUAAACAGAUGGCUAAAACAAUCUGAAGCUGAAAUGUGACAUUCCUUCUCAACUUGACCAGAUGGAUGAAAAAUGGAGAUAUAUCAUGAUCCUUCAAGGGGUGGAGUUUGUGGUGCAGGGGACACGUCACACUGUGCAUCUCAAGAUGCCUUGUAAUAGAGCAGGUCAUAUUCCUAGUUCUAGUCAUGAUGCCCAAAAGCUUGGAACAGCUGGGACUAAUGCUGUGGGAUAUUAUCAGAAGAUCAAUUAAAUACACUUUGUUGCUUCUAGGGUAAAAGCGCUCAUGGGAAUCACCCAGAUGCCAGAUUCCACCAUAACCCCGGCAACCAUCCUAGCCUGAUGCU
rnacentral:lncRNA from 1 species